AGCUGAGGCUCAGAACCAGGAGGCGGGGCCGACCCGGUGUCACACUAGGGGCUUUGCUUGCCUUCGGACAUCUUGAAGCUCGAGCUGGGGUCCUGGCGAUGGCGUAUCCAGCAUCUCACCCUGUAUCAAUACCUGGAAAUACAUCAAACCUCCAGAUAACCCUCUGAUUACCUCCUGAAGAAACAAGGAAAGAACGAUCAUGUGUCCAGAUCACCUGACAUACAUCAUCCAGACCACAGCGGUCAUCUCAACGGGAUGACCAUCUCAGACCGACCCAGAGGCUAAAACACAGGACCGAUUCUUCUCAAGAAUGUACUUUUUACUGUAAGAACCCUCAGUUCUUCCUUCUUGGGAACACUCUGGGUAUUGCCUAGUUGUGUUUACAGUUUGCAAACCCCAAGACCCUUGAAUAAAUCUUCACGUACUCCUA